rnacentral:rRNA from 1 species
GUCUCAGGCCGUAUCAGCCUGAAGGCGCCCGAUCUCGUCUGAUUUCGGAAGCUAAGCAGGGUCGGGCCUGGUUAGUAUCUUGGAUGGGAGACCACCUGGGAAUCCCGGGUGCUCGAGGCU